CUAUUCUGGUAUGCAAUGCUGA
rnacentral:siRNA from 1 species